rnacentral:tRNA from 1 species
UGUGAGGUGGCUGAACUCAUAGGCGUUGGUUUGUAAAACCAAAUAUGAAAUGUUAAAAUUUCCCUCAUAA